CGGAGACCGCUGCCGCCGCUGCCGCUGCUACCACCGCUGCCACCUGAGGAGACCCGCCGCCCCCCCAUCGCCGCCUCCUGCGAGUCCUUCUUAGCACCCGGCGUUUCAUGCACAUUGCCACUGCCAUUAUUAUUAUCAUUCCAAUACAAGGAAAAUAAAAGAAGAUACCAGCGAAAAGAACCGCUUACACCUUUCCGAAUUACUCAAGUGUCUCCUGGAAAGAGAGGGUCGUUGUCCCCGGAGGAGCAGCCGAAGGGCCCGUGGGCUGGUGUUGACCGGGAGGGAGGAGGAGUUGGGGGCAUUGCGUGGUGGAAAGUUGCGUGCGGCAGAGAACCGAAGGUGCAGCGCCACAGCCCAGGGGACGGUGUGUCUGGGAGAAGACGCUGCCCCUGCGUCGGGACCCGCCAGCGCGCGGGCACCGCGGGGCCCGGGACGACGCCCCCUCCUGCGGCGUGGACUCCGUCAGUGGCCCACCAAGAAGGAGGAGGAAUAUGGAAUCCAAGGGGGCCAGUUCCUGCCGUCUGCUCUUCUGCCUCUUGAUCUCCGCCACCGUCUUCAGGCCAGGCCUUGGAUGGUAUACUGUAAAUUCAGCAUAUGGAGAUACCAUUAUCAUACCUUGCCGACUUGAUGUACCUCAGAAUCUCAUGUUUGGCAAAUGGAAAUAUGAAAAGCCCGAUGGCUCCCCAGUAUUUAUUGCCUUCAGAUCCUCUACAAAGAAAAGUGUGCAGUACGACGAUGUACCAGAAUACAAAGACAGAUUGAGCCUCUCAGAAAACUACACGUUGUCUAUCAGUAAUGCAAGGAUCAGUGACGAAAAGAGAUUUGUGUGCAUGCUAGUAACUGAGGACAACGUGUUUGAGGCACCUACAAUAGUCAAGGUGUUCAGUAAGUAGUCUGCAUCAGUGUCACUGCUAAGUGGGAUUGAUGGCCAGUACCAGACCAUGUUCUUUAGAAAGAAGACUGAACUCUCUGUAGUGUCUCUAUAGCAGGUAUCUAUAUAAGGGGACUUAAAGAGAUCUUCAUUCUGCUCAUAUAUACAAUCAGCAAAGAAAACGAAGAGUAUGAAAUUCAAAUAGGAGAUUUGCAGUGAGGAACUAAAAUAAUAUUCUCUGUUACUUUGUCAUGUAAAAAUGUCGUGAGCUAUGAAGUACUACUACUGACAACUAGCAGGUGAUCUUAAUUUUUACUGACAUGUACAAGUAAGUGUUGUGUGACACAUACAUAGAUAUAUGAUAUAUAUGUAAUCAUGUAUAUCAUGCAUACAUAUACAUGUAUUUGGCUGAACAAAAUGAAAUUGCCAUUUUGCUGCAUAAUAAUAAAAUAUAAGCAAAUUCAAACUAUAUUUUAACAGAGGUAUAAAUUUUCCAUUUUUAUAUAUCCACAUAUAUAAAUAUCCCAUAUAUAUCCACAUACAAACAUUUUAUAUAUUAUAUAUAUUAGAGAUAUAGAUACAUUUCCAUCCUGACCUUUAUUGAUUGGUUAUUGAUUUAGAUUUCAAAAAGUAUUCACUUCCUUUAGAAAAUUGUCCUAAAAUUAAAAAAACUCACUACACCCUGAAUGCUUAUGUGGGCUACACCAAGGGGAGAAAGUAGGGUAGUGAUGGAAGAAGAGAAAAUUGUAGAAGAAACUCGGAAUAAUUAUAGUCACUAUGACAAAAUUACUUUGCCUAAUGAUAGCAUAUAGUUAAUGUUACUGUGCAAAUAACUGUGCAAAUGAAUGACUUGAGAAGUUAUAAUUAAAGUAUUUCAUCUUUUAAAACUCAAAUAAAAA
rnacentral:sRNA from 1 species